AGUCGGCCGGUCUGUCGCUGAUACCUUUCUGGUAUGAGAGGAAAGUCCGGGCAACACAGAGCAUCCUACUUCCUAACAGAAAGCUGUUCGCGAGGGCAGAGUAAUGCAGAAGAAAACAACCGCCUCCCACAGGAGGCAAGGGUGAGAAGGUGGGGUAAGAGCCUACCAGCCAUGCAGCGAUGUAUGGGCUGUGCAUCUUAGGAGUUGUAAGGUCAUGUAAACCGGCACUGAGGAGGGUCGCUCGCCCCACGUCGGAGGGUAGACCGCUAGAGCCUGGCGGUGACGUCAGGCGUAGAUAAAUGACAGACGCCCUGCUUGCAGGGACACAGAACCCGGCUUACAGGCCGGCUGUU
rnacentral:RNase_P_RNA from 1 species